rnacentral:piRNA from 1 species
UGUAUUGUGCCUUGUCCAUUUCUGAAAUCCU